rnacentral:rRNA from 1 species
AUGAACGCUGGCGGCGUGCUUCACACAUGCAAGUCGAACGGAAAGGCCCAAGCUUGCUUGGGUACUCGAGUGGCGAACGGGUGAGUAACACGUGGGUGAUCUGCCCUGCACUUCGGGAUAAGCCUGGGAAACUGGGUCUAAUACCGGAUAGGACGAUGGUUUGGAUGCCAUUGUGGAAAGUUUUUUCGGUGUGGGAUGAGCUCGCGGCCUAUCAGCUUGUUGGUGGGGUAAUGGCCUACCAAGGCGUCGACGGGUAGCCGGCCUGAGAGGGUGUACGGCCACAUUGGGACUGAGAUACGGCCCAGACUCCUACGGGGGGCAGCAGUGGGGAAUAUUGCACAAUGGGCGCAAGCCUGAUGCAGCGACGCCGCGUGGGGGAUGACGGCCUUCGGGUUGUAAACUCCUUUCGCUAGGGACGAAGCGUUUUUGUGACGGUACCUGGAGAAGAAGCACCGGCUAACUACGUG